GGCUGGGAACCAUUGGCUAAAGGCACCAGAUCCCAUCUGAUCUUGGAAACUAAGCAGGUUAGUAAUUUGGUUAGUAUUUGGAUGGGAUGCCACCAAUGAGCACCAGACGUCUUUGUCU
rnacentral:rRNA from 1 species